UACGAAGGGGGCUAGCGUUGCUCGGAAUUACUGGGCGUAAAGGGCGCGUAGGCGGGUGUUUAAGUCAGAGGUUAAAUCCCAGGGCUCAACCCUGGAACUGCCUUUGAUACUGGGCACCUAGAGUUCGGGAGAGGUGUGUGGAACUCCGAGUGUAGAGGUGAAAUUCGUAGAUAUUCGGAAGAACACCAGUGGCGAAGGCGACACACUGGCCCGAUACUGACGCUGAGGCGCGAAAGCCAGGGGAGCAAACGGG
rnacentral:rRNA from 1 species